CUGCAGGGGGGCAGUAUUUUCCAUGGCUACUGGCUUCCACCAUGGCUACUGGAGAAAUCAGCUGCCGGUCUUACUGGGGUUCUCUUGAAGACAACAGAGCGUGUGGAGUAAUAAUGAAACUCACUUGAUCCUGCUCUUCCAGUGCUUUCCACCUGGACAAGGUGGAGGGCAGGAGAGAAAAACCCAAAAAGAAUUGCUGCGGGAAACGAGGUGGGAGAGAUGCCAGCCGGUCCCACCUGCCCACCCUCCUCGGGGAAGCCGGCCCGGCGCAUUCUCCCGGAGACACCCCUUGUUUAGGCCCCAGCGUCUGCGCGCCCCGGACCUCCCUGGACCUCGGGCCUUGGAGUUUCAAUUGUUUCUCUGGCUUGUUCAGAAGGUGGAAGCUUAACCAGUGUGGCCGUUUGGAUUCUUGAAAAGGAGA